UGCAUGGAAGUCUGGUGUCUGGUCUGCUAUAGGCUUAACUCACAGUCGACAGUCAGUCUGAUCUGUCUCACACACGCCACAGCAGCUGUGAAUGGACUGGCCCCAACAUAUAUCUCGGACCUCAUCCAAAUUUAUACGCCAGCGCGGUCACUGAGGUCAGAGGGCCAGCUCCAGCUUGCGGUCUCCAAGACAAGACUUAAAACUCGGCGGGACAGGGCCAUUUCUGUGGUUGGACCUAAACUCUGGAACGCUCUGCCCCUCCAUGUCCGAACAGCCCCUACAGUCGUGUGGGUCUUUGGAAGGACAUCUUCACAGUGUCUAUGAAUGAAAAAUUUGAUGCGACGUACAGACAGAAGAUGGGCAAAUCCGACCUGACCUUUGACUUCUGUCUGUGAGGGGCCCCUGACCCCGCCCUCCCCCUGUACCGCCUCCCUACUCUCCUCUCCACUGAUCUACUUCAGUACAGUCGACAAGUGCACACUUCCUGCCAAAAGCCAUGCUCUUACAUCUCCAUUCAGUCAAUCAGUCUGACAGUGGGAUUACACUACAAGCCUCAUGUCAACAAGUCAUCAAAAAACCCUCCCUUGUGGACUGAUAAAUCCAGACUUAGCAGGAAUCUAUUGAAAUUUCUCAAUCAAUAUUCAAACCAAACCUCUCUCAACCCCUGCCUCCACAGUUUGUUCCCACUGCUGUGUAUGUGUACAAACCAAGCAGGGUUCCACCCAUAUGGGUUUUUAGGGGCACAUACGUUCAUAACAGGGAGCUAUAUGCGGAUAAUUAUAACUGAAAUACACAGAAAAUCACAUGUCAAUAAGGGAAAAAACGCCACUUCAGCCGUUACACUUUUUAUGUAAUGAUUAUCUUUCUUCUGGGCAAAGUUGCUCUGUCUGUUAUUUGCCUGUCCAGAAGGGCCUGGUUAUGCUAGAAAAAAAAGCAGCUAGUAGAAAGUGUUGUCUGACCACAUCUAAAGUCAAACGUGUUUAUAUCUAUUCCAAAUGGUAACAUUCAAAAGGUAGUUUUGGCGUCUGGUCUGUUUUUCCCGUGCGAUGCAGCUAGCAAGAAAACACUCUCUCUACUCUCUCACCACUGCUCUCCUGGAGUUUCAAUUCUCCAGAUUAUUCCCCCCACAUGAUGAAAUAUCACAAUCUGUCCAUCCACUAUAGCUAUUACAAACAGUAUCACUGCUGUUUGCGAUUGAGUUUCUUAUAUUACGUACGUAUUCCACAAAUUUAUCCAGUUGUGUUUAAACAGAGAGCGAGAGAGGCAGCACAAUUGUCAGAUAGCUGUUCUCCUCCUCCUGUCUGAACCCGGAGUGAGAACACUUUGUCUUGGGGACCCUACCUGAAGCCCCUAUUGCCCUUAACAACUCAGGUCGCACUUCUGGAAGGGGUUCGUAGGCUCUCUGGACUGGCUCUUAGGACAGUGUGAGGAGCUCAGACAGUUAGCUUUCAAUGUGCAGUUAAACUGAAAGGAGCAAAUUCCAUUCAUUUUUUAAUGAUGCUUGGAAGUCUCUAUGUGGACAUACUUCAGGCAGGUCCAGCUGGGAGAGGACCCUGGGGCAGACCCAGAACAUGCUGGAGGGGUUGUAUCACACCUGGCCUGCUUCCACAGAGAGAUAUGUAACGGCUGCUUUACUUAGUCUGUGAUUGCCUUUAUAUUCUAAUCUAUGUCUUUGACCAGGAGCCUAUGAGGACACCAGUGUAUAGGGUGCAUCAUAAAUCCUAUAGGGUUCAGCUGAGGAGUGGUGAAACUCUUUUGCCCUGAUGUGUUUGCUCUAACAAGAGGGAGAGGAAGGGCCAUUUUGGCCUACUUGGGCUGAUCACAAGGAGACUAUGCUCAAGCUUACCUUCUAGAGGGUAAUGAGUCCUGAACAGGUAGUGUAAAGUGGGUUUUUCUGCAGCUGCUGGAAACAAGGUUGAUGAUUGCGGUGACCUUGAACCAAAAUAGUGAAGUUGCAAGCUUGAAAACCAAAACAAUAUCUAAAAGAUGCUGAAACGCUCCUUAGAGUUGGGGGGAACAGUUUUUUUUAUUUAAGUCAUGCAUUCACUUUGACUUGUGAUUUGCAGUGUUUAUCAGCCACAAAUAUCUGUACGAAGCCUCAGAUAUUCUCUUCGAUGAUUCAGGAUGUCAGGUGGAUAGACCCUCUGAAACAUUUACACCAUCAUGAGACACUAACCUCUCCAGAGAAGCCAAGGCUAAUGAAACUAUUUUAUGGUCAGUAGCGCUAUAGGUGAGGCCACACACACCUGGUGGUGUUGUGGUGUUGGUGGGGAAACUUGAACACAUUACUGCCUGUAAGUGAGGAAUAAACUUACCCAGCAACACCCUGCUGUUGAAAAGAUGUUGGAAAGACAUUAGGCACGAUGGCUGAUUAAGACUUAUCUACAGUUCUAAAAUGCUUAUAGAUGUCACAAGUUACAGAUGUGAUGGAUAUCUUCUAACUGAGUAACUUACACAGAUAACAAUAACCAUAUCUGCCCUUUAGUUUGUCAAACCGAUAUAUUAGUCUAACCACUUGUCUGGAUGCCGCAGUGGCUCAUAGUCAGGUAGACGCUUGGAAGGUAACUGUAAGAGGGUAAGCCAAACCAGUAGGGACGUCUAUCACGCAGCUCAGUUUCACAGCUGAGACACUGUUAGAUGAUCAUUGUGCUGCAGUGCAGCCUCCAUCACUGGUUGUCACUGGACACUUAUGUACAAUCUGUAUGUGAGUGUGUGUCUGAGAGAGACAGAAAGAGGUAAAAAGAGAGUUAUAUCUUACGUUUGUACCUCCAGAAUGUAUCAUGGCUCUCAGACUGACCUACAUAUCAAAUUCAAGGUUUCAUCAAUAACCACCAUAUGUAGAAUAAUGUAUGAUAAUAAUGUGUAACUCUUCAGUGAUAGUGUCAAAGAUAACGCUGUGUUAGCAUCUGAUGCUGAGAUGAAUGGGCUGAAAGCAAAGACGGCUGCAGGAUUUUCGCCUUACUCUGAAACAAAAGCUUACACAAUCAGAAUCAAUUCUUAUUGAUCACAUAAAAAAAUCUACAAAUAAUGAUUUUAAGGAGUAGCACACUUCACUCCUAAACACUUUGCUUUAAAAAGUUUUAACUGGUAUUUUGUGUACAACCAUGGUGGUUACCUUGUCAGCAUUUGAAACAAUCUGCUGCGCUGUAUUUACUGUACAUCAUAAAAUAGAAACCCUCUGGUGGUUAAGAUGAGCAGCUGCUGCUCAGUUGCAGAUACAGCUGUGCCAAACACUGUUGAAAGUAUAUAAUGUAUUUUCUCCCAGGUAUAAAGGCAUUUUUAGACCCUCAUCCUUAAUGUAGACAAACAUUUAAACCUUGUCAUUAUUUUUCUCUUUUUUAGUUUGUUUUGUUUGGAGAGUAAAAAUGUGAUAAUUCAAAAGAUAUGAUGUGUACACAAAGAUAUACAUAUAUACAGAGACACGUAAAUCUGUAUAUACAUGAAUAAAAAAUAAAGCCUGUGCAGGAGAGGUAGAAAGCCAAAAACUUAUGCAAAGGCCUCUUCUAACUACUCAAGGCGACAUAAACAGGAUUACAUGAAAUCAACAAGACAUGACAGAGCUCUGUAAAUAACACCGAGGACACGGAGAGGUAACUCUGCUAAACUUACAUCGACACCACAGAGCUCCAUCAGAUUUCCCUCAGGAUGGUUAAGACAGCUAGUUAAGAGAAGUGAUGAGUGUGUUUGUUUUGAUAGUAAAAUCUCACACCAUGGCUAGAUAAAUCUGCCCAGGGACCCCUCCGACCACAUGUUGCAAUUCAGACAACACAUUAUUGUGACACUUAAGUCUUAAAACUACAAGAAAAGAUAAUAAUGCAAGACCCACCUUAGUUAAUAUUAAUAUUAUUUCCUAUAUGAAUUAGCUGUUGAUCAAAUUACAUACAACACACUUACACAGAGUGAACUUAGGUGCCAUUAUUUUUACGUGUUUCAUAAUCAGAUUCCUUCCUAAUGUAAUUUUAAUACACUUGUUUACACGUGGCCACAUUCACACUCUGUUAGCUACAUCACAAAUCUGCUUACAGUCCAUCUCAGUGUUCCCAGCUACAUGCAAAUUAGAGUUGGCUCUACUUCAGCCCAGAGGGGGGUGGUAAUGCACCUGAAACUGUUUGGUACACUUUGCAUGUGGCAGGAAGAACAAUGGCAGACUUCGGUUGCCAGGACAUGUACAGGUAUUUCAACAGACCAUUUAUUGGCGUAGUUACACUUCAGGAGAAUAAAGACUGACUAUGCGUCUUAGAGAAAUGGAUGUAUUCACACCUAUUAAACACCUGCAUCUCAAACCACCUCCCAUGGUGGUCGGAUUUCAGUCCAUAUCUAAUACUUCUUGGAUGCAUUUACACCUUGCUUUUUAGCUAUCAAAUAGCUAACUGAGCCACCCAAGAUGUAUGGAGUGCAUAAGUGGAAAUGGGGCUCUGGGGAACUGAUUGGUGAUCCACACACUCUUUUUCCUGUGUGAACCAGACUACACAUUCCCACUGACUGGUGAACAGUGUGUUUCUCUUUGUUUAUCUUGGUUUUCUCAGAAAUGUCAGGUUAGGGCUGCAGGAGAGGAGAGAGCAGCAUAUUAUUAACCCAUAACCAGCAUUAACUGUGUUCUGCUACUCACUGUAGUGUCACCACAGCAACGGCAUCUGGAGUCAGACUAUCCACUAGCAUCCCCUCCUCUUUCUCUAUUGCCACAAUGGUUUCCAGUCAGCAGAUCAGUCCCUUCCCUCUGCCAGACACUUGUGAAUGUCUUUAUUGUGUUGAUGUAAACAACAACCUCAGCACACACUCGUCACGCCGCCUCUUUCACGGCUGCUCAUUCUUUCUUUUCAUUGUUCUUUCUUCUCGCUGUCACUCUGUUUACAGCCGUUGGCAAGGCUUCAGCUGCCCCUCUCCACUUUUAUGGUUUGUUUGGGUUUUUAUACAUGCCUGUCUCUGUUUCUUGGGUGUCUUGCGUUGUAUUUUACAUGCUUUGCUUGCUGGUUUAUUAAUAAAGGUAUGUCUUCAGGCAGUAUCUGA